AGAGUUUGAUCAUGGCUCAGGAUGAACGCUAGCUACAGGCUUAACACAUGCAAGUCGAGGGGCAGCAUGGUCUUAGCUUGCUAAGGCUGAUGGCGACCGGCGCACGGGUGAGUAACACGUAUCCAACCUGCCGUCUACUCUUGGCCAGCCUUCUGAAAGGAAGAUUAAUCCAGGAUGGGAUCAUGAGUUCACAUGUCCGCAUGAUUAAAGGUAUUUUCCGGUAGACGAUGGGGAUGCGUUCCAUUAGAUAGUAGGCGGGGUAACGGCCCACCUAGUCAACGAUGGAUAGGGGUUCUGAGAGGAAGGUCCCCCACAUUGGAACUGAGACACGGUCCAAACUCCUACGGGAGGCAGCAGUGAGGAAUAUUGGUCAAUGGGCGAUGGCCUGAACCAGCCAAGUAGCGUGAAGGAUGACUGCCCUAUGGGUUGUAAACUUCUUUUAUAAAGGAAUAAAGCCGGGUAUGCAUACCCGUUUGCAUGUACUUUAUGAAUAAGGAUCGGCUAACUCCGUGCCAGCAGCCGCGGUAAUACGGAGGAUCCGAGCGUUAUCCGGAUUUUAUUGGGUUUAAAGGGAGCGUAAAUGGAUGU
rnacentral:rRNA from 1 species